UAAGAUUCUUUGCCAGAGGCAGGAAACAUGGAAAGAAAAUGGAUUUGGGGGAGCAGUUGUGGAAGUUUCCAUGGCCUUCAGGAUGAACAACAGUAUCUGAGAAGCAAUCACGUUCACGUCACUGAAGUGUGGAGUCACUGGAAUUAGCAGAGCAGAUGGAGAUGUGCUGACUGAGGGAGAUAUGAGUGCCUUGACAACCAGGAUUUGAGCAGAGACUCAACACAGCUCCAAUCUGCUCUCCUGCUUUAGCUCUGAUGUUUUAAAUAUCACAAUGCCAUGAGCACAUCCUUCCUGAAUGAGAGAAGACAUGUAUUCGUAAACUGGAGGCACUCGCUGGUGAAGUAUACAACUUCCUAUUUCCUUGGUGAAUGCCUCAGAAAACAUGAUUCUGAGAAUUUUCAAAUUUUCCACUCAUUGUCACCACCCACUCACCUCCCAGGCCUCACUCAGAAUGGCUGGGAUGAGUCAGGAAACAGUUUGGGAAGAGCAGACCUGGGGGAGGAUUGUAGGCUAUGGCUGGCUUACUCAGCAGCUUACAGAGAUCAGUAACCUUGGCAUUUUGAUGGUUUUUGGGACAAAGGAAUAUGACUUCUUCAAUUCACAGACCAAAUCCAUAAGCAUUCAAAAUAGAUCAGUGGCUAAUCUCCUCUGAGGAAAUGAGUGCCUACUUCCUUAUAAAAAUAUCUCUUCGUGUGUCAUGUUAUAUGGUGAUUAUAUUCUAGGUGUGACAGUUUAAUUAUCUCAAGUCACUUGAUUUUUUUCCUUUUUGUGCCCUAGUGAGUCAUCUUAAAUCCUUCUUAUAGCAGCUUCAUGUAGGUUCCAGAUGGUCCCUUUUGGGUUCCCCCUGUUUCUUACUAUGCUGACUUGAGUGAGAAUUGCCCCCACAGGCUGGCUCAGCUCUUUGAACACUCGGUUCUCUAGCUGGCAGUACUAUUUGGGUAGGUUUAGGAGGGGUGGCCUUCCAAGAGGACAUAUGCCCCUCCAUCAGGGUGGUCUUUUAGGUUUUAAAAGCUAUUUGCCAUUCCUAAUUCACUCUCCGUUUCAUUCUGUAGUUUAGAAUGUGAGUUCUCAGCUCUUCGCUUCCAGCUCCAGCCACAGUGCUUAGCUGCCACACUGCCUUACCAGUCCAGUGAUGACCUUUUUGCCUUCUGUAAC